AGCAGCAAUUGGAAUCAAUGACAGCAACCAGAAAGAUAAAAGUGAUAAAUGGUGUGGUUGAGUUUUUAAUGUUGACUGAAAAUGGUGGUUGAGGAUUCAGUGUUGGAGCACAGAAUGGAGUAAAUGAGAAGAUGAAAGGGCGUUGGAUGUUUAAAUGUGGUUUGAUGUUAAAAGCGUGUGUGCACGCGUUAAUUUCCCUCCCAAAAUGAGCCAACAAACGGAAUGGAUGGCCGGAAAAGGUUAAUUUUGCUCGGAAUGUUGGAGUAAGGUCCCAUAUUUAAAACAAUUUUUUAAUUCAAGGUACUAUUUGACAAAAUUAAAAAUAUAAGGUACUAGCUCACAAACUGAGACAAAAACAAGGUACUUUUUGACAUUUUUGCCUUAAUUAUGGAAAAUAGUUGCAGAUCCAGAGCUAUUUUUGUUUAUCUUCCCGUUUGGAGCUGCACAAACCCUCUAUCUCUCACCAGUUCUCAACCCUCUUUGAUUUCUUGCUCCAACCUUCAAGAUCCACGAGUUAAUUCUGGCUCGAAUAAUGAAUUUCAGGUCCAUGGUUCAAUUGAGGUAAGGCCAUAACAUUACACUCUCCUUGACUCUAUGAGGGCGCGAGUAUCUUUGAAUGCAUUGUCGUCAUGAUGGUGUGUUAUCUCUCUUCACUCUUGAUGCAAUUUUUUUUAGCUUAAAUAAGAUACAUUUUUGUGUUACUUUCUGAUUCUCAUGGACUUUUUAAACUAUCAUCGUCAUUUUGUGGUAGACCAGGAGUUAAAAUAUGAUCAUCUUGCUUUAGGGUUAAAGAGAGCUCUGGGGCAUGACAAAUCUGCCUUCGAUGCAGAUCAACAAAAUUACACAUGUAUGGUGUUUGUAUUACUCUUGAAUUACUCAUUAUUUUACACUAAAACUAUAAGCUUUUGCAGCUAGCCAUUGUCCUUGUGAGCUACACUAUGCUUAUCUCCUUAACGAUUUGUUUAUCUUCUAUCACUGUAAUAGUUUUAAUAUUAGGCCUUAUAUAUUAUGUAUAAUUUUCUCUAUUGGUAUUAUUUAGAUGCUUUUUCUUUAAUUCAGGUGCACAAUGAUUUUUUUUUUCUUCUGGUGCAAUUACAUGGAACGCCUAAUCUUGAAUUACAUAGACUGCCUUUUGAGGUAAUCGUAAAAAACUCUCAUUGAACAUUCAUGUUUAAAUUAUAAAAAGCUCUCAUUUUCACUGUCCUUUGCCAAUUCCAGUUUAAAUUGUUGCUAGUGUAGUGGAAGAGGCUAAUUUAGAAAACAAGUUUGCAGAGGCAACUGCCAAACUUUGUCUGAGGUAUUAUGUUCCUAGUUCUCUUUACUUGUAGCUGCAGUGUGGAAUUAUUUGCUAUUAUUUUCCUAAUAUUCCGAUUUUAGGCAGUUGUAUAAAUGUUAGUAAUUGAUUAGAAAAGAGUUGUAUACUUCAUAUGUAUCAAUUGUAAUCUCUUAGUUUUCCCUGUCCUUUGUGAAGAAAAUGUCCUUACUUUGCUUUAUGGUCACAAAUGUGAGCUUAGUUUGUAUGUGUGAGGUAUCAUGUCCCUACCUAGUGUUUCUGUAACUGUAGAUCAUGGUUUAAAACAUAGAAAUUUCCUUUAUUUUCCUUGAGAUGGAAUAAACGAUUCACUUGCUUAAUUUAGCUAUAACUAAUGCCGGAAUUUCAUUAGGGUUGUCAGGUUUGCACUCGCAAUGUGGAGAGGACACAUAAUUCUCAAGUCUGACGACAUCAGAAAGAUACCAGAAGCCAUUCAGAUAUCGAUGAAAUCCUCUAGGAUAAUAGUCGAAAAUGUAAUCAUAUCAUUCUCUAAAAAGGGUAUAGUUCAAGCAGUACCCCUUGCUGGAUACUCUAUGUUGUUAUUUGUUGUUUUGAUAGACGCCGGGACAUGCAUGCCUAUAGACUGAACAACAUGUUGCUUUCAAGGAACUGAAGACUCCAAGAAGACAAGUUGUACAACUUUUCAGAAUAAGGCAUGUGGUGACAAAACUGGUAAGAAUUCAAGUGUCGAAGUUCAGUAGCAAAAGAAUGAUGCAAUCGAGAGUAUUGCGAAGACAGAAGAGUCGAAAAAAGGGUUUAGGUUAGGUUAUAGGCUUUAGUUAUUUUUGUAUAAGUUUAAGCUUAAUUUAGUUAGUGCGGAAUAGAGAUACUAUUUGUAUUUAUGAUGGUAUUGCGGACAAAAUUGGCUAACAUUUCUUAUUUAGGGAUGUCAACUACAUUAAAAUUUACAAGGUUUAAGUAUAUUUAUAUAAAUUUUGCA